GAUUGAUGGAAAUCAAACAAUUUUCGAUAAUAUCGCAGACAACAGUGGAGUCACUGUUGCUUUCCGGGCUUACGAGAAAUAUCUUAAACGCCAUGGAGAAGAACCUCAUCUUCCUGGUCUCGACUUUACAAACAAACAAAUGUUUUUCAUUGGAUAUGCUCAGGUUUGGUGUGAGGCAAUCGAAUCCAUGAAACAAACUUUUGAAGAUGAUCUACAUAGCCCUGGAAAAUAUAGAGUCCUGGUCCCUCUAAUGAAUUCACCAGAGUUUGCUAAAGUUUUCAACUGUCCUUUGAAAAGUUACAUGAAUCCCGAGCAUAAAUGUCGAUUGUGGGGAUGAAAUAUAUUUACUCUACAUUAAAAUUCGAAACUUGUAUAAUAUAUUUUCCAUUGAUUGAAU